rnacentral:lncRNA from 1 species
UUCGGAUGAGAUGAAAGAGGCCAUAUGGUAUAAGGGUCUCUGCAUAUUUGUCUCCGGCUUCAACCGAGGUUUAAGAGAGGCCAGGCAUAAUCCAUCUGUUCCCCUGACCGUACUCCGAGCUAAAGAAGAGGAUUCCGAUGGUGAGAUCGUGGCCUACGGGGAGGACGAUAUGCCUCUGCCCAAAGGGACUUCUCUUGCUAAAGUUGGGCCUUCUGAGGCAGGAUCCGAGCUGAACACAGAGAAUGUGGAAGUCCUCAACCCUGAGGUAGGCGUCGCCGAGCCUCAGAAGAAAGGUAUAGGAUCCGAGCUGAACACAGAGAAUGUGGAAGUCCUCAACCCUGAGGUAGGCGUCGCCGAGCCUCAGAAGGAAGGUAUAGGAC